rnacentral:lncRNA from 1 species
CCGAUCCCAACAUCAUCUAGAACUUCAACUAAUUUAAGCCGAGCUGAGCCGAUGAGUGGCUUGGUGUCUGGCUCCGAGCCGGCAUGAACGAUGUCGAUGUAAAGAGUAAGAUCUUCAAUAGGUUGAGGUGGUAAAGGGAUUAUGAGAGUUUGGUCCCAAUUUGCUUCUGUGUCUCCAUUUUCAUCAACUUUGGUUGAGAAUUUGUUCUUUGGAUCAAUCCAUACGACGCCAUAUGGUUUGUUUGAGCCGUUACGCCAGUUCACGUUUUUGAGAUUGUAAGCUGAUGAAAGUUUCACUUCAGCUUCAUAGCGUGAAGCCAUUUUAAUUUUUUUAUGUUUGUGUUGAAU